UGGGGAAUAUUGGACAAUGGGGGCAACCCUGAUCCAGCAAUGCCGCGUGUGUGAAGAAGGUCUUCGGAUUGUAAAGCACUUUCGACGGGGACGAUGAUGACGGUACCCGUAGAAGAAGCCCCGGCUAACUUCGUGCCAGCAGCCGCGGUAAUACGAAGGGGGCUAGCGUUGCUCGGAAUGACUGGGCGUAAAGGGCGUGUAGGCGGUUUACACAGUCAGAUGUGAAAUCCCCGGGCUUAACCUGGGAGCUGCAUUUGAUACGUGUAGACUAGAGUGUGAGAGAGGGUUGUGGAAUUCCCAGUGUAGAGGUGAAAUUCGUAGAUAUUGGGAAGAACACCGGUGGCGAAGGCGGCAACCUGGCUCAUGACUGACGCUGAGGCGCGAAAGCGUGGGGAGCAAACAGGUUAGAUACCCUGGUAGUCCACGCUGUAAACGAUGUGUGCUAGAUGUUGGGUAACUU
rnacentral:rRNA from 1 species